UGGACUCAAAAAAAAAAUAAGAGAAGUGAGGCCCAAAUUGGGAAUGCCCAACCGGCCACAAGCCUUGAUCCAAGCCCAUGGAUUAAAUAAUUUCCAUGUGAAUUAUAUAGUCAUAAUUAUCCUUAGAAACUUCAAGACAAAGCAAGAGAAACCAAGAAAAAGAAGAGGAGAGAGUUCGGGUGGAAAGAGAGAAAAGAAAGAAAAGAAAGAAAAAAAAUUUGGGGCCUAAUCUUGGAUUCAAAAAUUCAUUCCUUGUGAAAUAACUACUAAGUGCAAAGUCCUCUACAACUUGGUACAAUUAGUUUGGCAAGAGGACAACUUUUGUAACAAGUGAAGAACUUGGAGGAAAGAUUUUGGACGAAAUUGGAAUCGACGCCAAGCGAGCGUAAGGCGCUAUCGAGGUACAGACGCACUAGGUGACACGCCGCCAAUGUAGG